AUUGAACGCUGGCGGCAUGCCUUACACAUGCAAGUCGAACGGUAACAGGUCUUCGGAUGCUGACGAGUGGCGAACGGGUGAGUAAUACAUCGGAACGUGCCCGAUCGUGGGGGAUAACGGAGCGAAAGCUUUGCUAAUACCGCAUACGAUCUACGGAUGAAAGCAGGGGACCGCAAGGCCUUGCGCGGACGGAGCGGCCGAUGGCAGAUGAGGUAGUUGGUGGGAUAAAAGCUUACCAAGACGACGAUCUGUAGCUGGUCUGAGAGGACGACCAGCCACACUGGGACUGAGACACGGCCCAGACUCCUACGGGAGGCAGCAGUGGGGAAUUUUGGACAAUGGGCGAAAGCCUGAUCCAGCCAUGCCGCGUGCAGGAUGAAGGCCUUCGGGUUGUAAACUGCUUUUGUACGGAACGAAAAGACUCUUUCUAAUAAAGAGGGUCCAUGACGGUACCGUAAGAAUAAGCACCGGCUAACUACGUGCCAGCCGCCGCGGUAACAC
rnacentral:rRNA from 1 species